UUACUGUUUUGUAAAUGACUUGAGAAAUGCACCAAAGCUUGCAGGAUUUGUAACUUACAUAAAUGGUUGAAGACAACUUAUUGGCCCUCAUGACACCCAGAUAAAUGAGAGGAUCACACCUGUCGCCAAAAACAAAGGUUUAAGACUACUGAAUUUUCAGUCAGAAAUGAUCACACCGCCUGGCUGAAGUACCAGUCUCCAUAUGCAAAUCAACAAAGCAGAGAGGAAACACCUCAUUGACAACAUGUGAGUCUCAAUCUCAACCUGUGACUGAGAAAACCAUGACCAUGACCCACACCAUCCUGAGCGAAGUCUGAACUUAGUGACUUGUUUCUCUCAACCCAGAGCAAGAAUCCUUUUAUCACCGGUUUUUCUUCUACAAUAGCUUAUCUUUUAUAUGGACACAUUCUGUUUUUUUUUUUUUUUCAGAUCUCAGUAAUGGAAUGGAAAUGGAAUCGGUUCUUUUUUUAACUGACUUUUUAAAUAGAAAUUGUUUCUUUAAGUGGAUUACUCGAGAUCUGUAUUUUUGUUUAAUUUGGGCUUAUUUUCUUUAUAACUUUCUGUAUAGAAAUGCUGACAAAUUACACUUCCUUGUGUGUUGUACGGUAAUUGGGGCCUGCCCAUAGCAAUGCAUAGGGAGAGCAGUGGCUGACUUGCAGAAGCAAGUCAGCCACUGCUCUGUUUUCGAAUACGUAUCACGGUUCCCGAACAGGAAGGAGUUGUUCGGACAGCUUUUUUUAGUGAAACUGGCUGGCUCAAACAGAUAKAAUUAUGUCUCCCCCUGUGUGUAUCUCUCACAGCUAGCAGUUGGCAGAGAGGAUUAAUUGCCAUAGCAACAGAACACAGGCCACAGCUGCUGAUUCAGACUACAAACACAUGGCCAUCUCUGUAGUUCUAACUAUGGCAAACACCCAGUUAAUGCAGAGGGUUAGGUUUUACCCAACCACUGUUACACAUUGGAUCAGUGUGACCAUUUAAGAUUAAGCUUAAUAAAAAUUUCAAAAUAAAAGCCUUGACAAUUUUUA